UUCUCACCUACCAUUUCACCGCAUGGGUGCCACUAAAUCAAGAUGACCCACUAUAUAUAUAAUGAGUAGCUGCAGAUACUUGUAAUUAUAAUUACUUUGAAGAAGUCCUUUUCUUUCCUUCGAAAUUGAUAUUUCAGAAUCAAUCAUGUAUUGUUGAAUGCGAUAUCACUAAAGACGUUGAAAAACUCGCUCAAGGCUGGCUUGAACACAGUUUUUGGGGGUAGCUUGCAUGCAUCAGUUUGGCCGAGCAUAAAAAUGGUGGUGAAAAAGAUCAUCGAAACUUAAUUGAGGUUUAUUUGAGUGAAAAUGCGGCUCAGAAGAUGAAAAUAAAUUGUGGUCUUAUAUAAGAUCUGUGGAGGUUCAAUGCUACUUAUAUUCAUGCUGGACAGGUUGUUUUUCCUUUUCUAUGAAUGUUGAUUUUUCUUAAUUUUAUCUAUCUCUUCUAUGAUGCUCAUAAUAGUAAUUUUGAUAUUUUUGUUAUGGCUGUUGGUAUUGUUGAGCGUUGAUUUGAGCAUAGAUGCUGCUCAGGAGAUGAAAAGGGAUUCUGAACUUCAUAAGAGAUUUUGAUAUCUAAUGCCAGUUGUGUUCGCUUCAAACAGGUUUCUUUGAGUGAGAAUGGAGCUCAAAAGAUGAAAUGAAAUUUUGAAUUUACAGCAGAUCUGUGGAGCUCUGAUGCUGUUGGAGACGUGUUUUUCCUUCUUUUCAACUUGGGAAGUUGCUAAACCAACUAUACUCAAGAUCUGCGAAAUGUAUUGUGCAAGUAUUAUAACAUAUCUUUUACCCUCCUUUUAGUGUAUGAAUAUCUGAAAGGAGAUAUCCUUUUGAAUCAUUGUGUCUGUCCAUUCUUGUUUGACACAGCGGUAGCUUGCUGUAGACUUUCUAAUUUAAUGUAUAAAGGAACAAAUAUAUAAAUAACCAAGACUUUCUAAUUUAAUGUUUAA